rnacentral:rRNA from 1 species
ACGGAAGGCAGCAGUGAGGAAUAUUGGUCAAUGGAGGCAACUCUGAACCAGCCAUCUCGCGUGAAGGAAUACGGCCCUACGGGUCUUAAACUUCUUUUAUAGGGGGAUAAAGUGAGCCACGUGUGGCUCUUUGUAGGUACCCUAUGAAUAAGCAUCGGCUAACUCCGUGCCAGCAGCCGCGGUAACACGGAAGGUCCGGGCGUUAUCCGGAUUUAUUGGGUUUAAAGGGAGCGCAGGCGGCCUUUUAAGCGUGUGGUGAAAUGUAGGCGCUCAACGUCUGCACUGCCACGCGAACUGGAGGGCUUGGGUGCGGUGAACGCUGGCGGAAUUCGUGGUGUAGCGGUGAAAUGCUUAGAUAUCACGAAGAACUCCGAUUGCGAAGGCAGCUGGCGGUACCGUUACCGACGCUCAUGCUCGAAAGUGUGGGUAUCGAACAGGAUUAGAUACCCUGGUA